UACGGAGGGUGCAAGCGUUACUCGGAAUCACUGGGCGUAAAGGACACGUAGGCGGGUUGGAAAGUCAGAUGUGAAAUCCUACAGCUUAACUGUAGAACUGCAUUUGAAACUUCUAACCUAGAGUAUGGGAGGGGGAGAUGGAAUUAGUGGUGUAGGGGUAAAAUCCGUAGAUAUCACUAGGAAUACCUAAAGCGAAGGCGAUCUCCUGGAACAUUACUGACGCUAAGGUGUGAAAGCGUGGGGAGCAAACGGGAUUAGAUACCCCGGUAGUCCACGCCCUAAACGAUGAACACUAGUCGUCGGGAUGCUUGUCAUCUCGGUGAUGCACUUAACAGAUUAAGUGUUCCGCCUGGGGAGUACGGUCGCAAGAUUAAAACUCAAAGGAAUAGACGGGGACCCGCACAAGUGGUGGAGCAUGUGGUUUAAUUCGAAGAUACGCGAAGAACCUUACCUAGCCUUGACAUUGAUUGAAUUCAGCAGAGAUGCAGAAGUGCCCUUCGGGGAACAUGAAAACAGGUGCUGCACGGCUGUCGUCAGCUCGUGUCGUGAGAUGUUGGGUUAAGUCCCGCAACGAGCGCAACCCUCGUCCUUAGUUGCCAGCAGGUUAAGCUGGGCACUCUAAGGAGACUGCCUUCGCAAGGAGGAGGAAGGUGAGGACGACGUCAAGUCAUCAUGGCCCUUACGGCUAGGGCUACACACGUGCUACAAUGGGGCGUACAGAGUGUUGCGAUACCGCGAGGUGGAGCUAAUCACUUAAAGCGUCUCUCAGUUCGGAUUGGAGUCUGCAACUCGACUCCAUGAAGCUGGAAUCACUAGUAAUCGUAGAUCAGCAAUGCUACGGUGAAUACGUUCCCGGGUC
rnacentral:rRNA from 1 species